rnacentral:rRNA from 1 species
GGCAUGCCUAAGACAUGCAAGUCGAACGCCAGGGCCCAUGAAAGGGAAUGGAAGUUGGAGGUGCUUGCACCGAAGAUGGAAGUUAACUGGAAUGGAAUAUCCCUCGAGUGGCAAACGGGUGAGUAACACGUGGGUAACCUACCUCUAUGUUGGGGAUAACAGUUGGAAACGACUGCUAAUACCGAAUAUGCUCUAAGGAGUAAAGGAGCCUUUAAAGCUUCGCAUAGAGAUGGGCCUGCGGUGCAUUAGCUAGUUGGUAGGGUAAGAGCCUACCAAGGCGACGAUGCAUAGCCGAGCUGAGAGGUUGAUCGGCCACACUGGGACUGAGACACGGCCCAGACUCCUACGGGAGACAGCAGUUAGGAAUAUUCGUCAAUGGGGGGAACCCUGAACGAGCAAUGCCGCGUGAAUGAAGAAGGCCCUAUGGGUUGUAAAAUUCUGUUGUAUGGAAAGAAAGAUAUGAAUAGGAAAUGAUUUAUAUUUGACGGUACCAUUCAAGAAAGCCACGGCUAACUACGUGCCAGCAGCCGCGGUAAUACGUAGGUGGCGAGCGUUAUCCGGAUUUAUUGGGCGUAAAGCGUGCGCAGGCGGUUUAUUAAGUCUAAAAUUAAAGUCCGAAGCUUAACUUCGGUUCGUUUUAGAAACUGGUAGACUAGAGUGCGGUAGAGGCAAAUGGAAUUUCUAGUGUAGCGGUAGAAUGCGUAGAUAUUAGAAGGAACACCAGUGGCGAAGGCGAUUUGCUGGGCCGCAACUGACGCUCAUGCACGAAAGCGUGGGGAGCAAAUAGGAUUAGAUACCCUAGUAGUCCACGCCGUAAACGAUGAGUACUAAGUGUCGGGCAACCGGUGCUGAAGUUAACACAUUAAGUACUCCGCCUGAGUAGUACGGUCGCAAGGCUGAAACCCAAAGGAAUUGACGGGCACCCGCACAAGCGGUGGAGCAUGCUGUUUAAUUCGAAAAUACGCGAAGAACCUUACCUAGACUUGACAUCCCUGGCGAAGCUAUAGAAAUAUAGUGGAGGUUAACCGGGAGACAGGUGGUGCAUGGUUGUCGUCAGCUCGUGUCGUGAGAUGUUUGGUUAAGUCCAAAAACGAGCGCAACCCUCGUCGUUAGUUGCUAACAUUAAGUUGAGAACUCUAACGAGACUGCCAGUGCAAGCUGGAGGAAGGUGGGGAUGACGUCAAAUCAUCAUGCCCCUUACGUCUAGGGCUACAGGCGUGCUACAAUGGCCAGUACAACGAGAAGCAACACAGUGAUGUGAAGCGGAUCUCUGAAAGCUGGUCCCAGUCCGGAUUGGAGUCUGCAACUCGACUCCAUGAAGAUGGAAUCGCUAGUAAUCCCGAAUCAGAAUGUCGGGGUGAAUACGUUCCUCGGGCGU